GACGUGAGAGAAGGGGACGCAAUAUUACAUAAUUCGUAUAGAAUCGAAGUCGCAUUUUGGUUCGGACGGAAAAUGGGCAACCGAAAGGUAGCCGAUAGGCAUACGUGAAUAUCACUGUACGAACGUUCGCGGACAAGCGAAUGUGAGAUCUUACAUAAAAAAAAGGAGAUAACCCGCGACUAUGUUUAAGGCUUCAUAAUCACCACCGGAAUUGGUAGUGGUAUCACACGGCCGAUAAACAUGCUAUUUUUAAUGAAUAAAUUAUACUCAAACCAUAAUAACAAAGUAUGCGUAAUGACCCCCUUCUUCGUGUUUCCGGUCGACUCUCAUCUUUUAUCAUAACUGUACAAUGCUGUUCGUCAUUCACCGUUCGUUACUGGGAAUUGUUUAGCAUUACUAGAGAAAAAAAAUACACUCGCAAAAUUCUAUAUACUGUAGGAUUCGGAUGUGUAAUAUUGAUUGUCGUCAUUGUCGCCGCCAAAUUGAUCAUCGCACCGUCAACAUAAUAUUCAUCAUUUUCAUCAUCUGUGACAGUAAUAAAAGCUGGUUAAAAUAAAAUGAAACUGGAGUCCAUCCGAUGUAAACAACGUAUAUGAGCGUGCACGAGAGGCUGGCCCUGCUGAGAGUGCGACUUUUUUUAUAACGUGGGGUAGGGGGGGUCUUCGAUUCCUGCAAAAUCGCUUCCUCUCUUGUACAGAUGCGGCCGUAAUUAAAAGGGGAGACCCAGUUGGAAUUUUGAAAAAAUCGAUUUCUUUUUUUUCCAUUUUCUAAAAGUACAAUAUUUCAAGAGUAUUUUCCGACCAAUUACAAGCAAAUCGUACCGUUAUUCGCCAAGAUAUAUAACUUUGAAUGGCGUCGUGUAUGACAAAGCUAACCGGUGCUCCCUCGAAAAUACUCGAGAGGCAAGGGUAGCUCGUCGUCGACACAAAAUUGCUGCAGGUGCAGCUAACAAAGCGGAAGAAGGCGUGGUAUAUGGCCCAGGAAUAGACAAUUCAAUCUAAAUGAUCCGUUGCAGCGCGAGAGUGAUCACCGCAACACCCUUUUUUUUGCAGACGUCUCGCCGAUUGCCUCUUACCGGCUUAUUUUUAAAUAUUUUUCUUUGAAAAAAUUGUAAUGUGUACUUUAAAUAUAUAUCUUUCAU
rnacentral:lncRNA from 1 species